rnacentral:rRNA from 1 species
GGGCCCGCACAAGCGGUGGAGCAUGUGGUUUAAUUCGAUGAUACGCGAGGAACCUUACCAGGGCUUAAAUGUAAGUUGCAUAGAUCAGAGAUGGUCUUUUCUUCGGACUCAUUACAAGGUGCUGCAUGGUUGUCGUCAGCUCGUGCCGUGAGGUGUCAGGUUAAGUCCUAUAACGAGCGCAACCCCUAUCGUUAGUUGCCAGCGGGUAAUGCCGGGAACUCUAGCGAAACUGCCGGUGCAAACCGUGAGGAAGGUGGGGAUGACGUCAAAUCAUCACGGCCCUUACGUCCUGGGCUACACACGUGCUACAAUGGUCGGUACAGAGAGCAGCCACUACGCGAGUAGGAGCGAAUCUCUAAAGCCUAUCUCAGUUCGGAUUGGAGUCUGCAACUCGACUCUAUGAAGCUGGAAUC